rnacentral:rRNA from 1 species
CAUACAGCUUCAGAAACUGAACAGCUAGAGUACGGGAGAAGUAAGUGGAACUCCAUGUGUAGCGGUGAAAUGCGUAGAUAUAUGGAAGAACACCAGUGGCGAAGGCGACUUACUAGCCCGAGACUGACGCUCAGUCACGAAAGCGUGGGUAGCAAAUAGGAUUAGAUACCCUAGUAGUCCACGCUGUAAACGAUGAAAACUAAGUAUUGCCGCGAGGCAGUGCUGUAGCUAACGCAUUAAGUUUUCCGCCUGGGGAGUACGCUCGCAAGAGUGAAACUUAAAGGAAUUGACGGGGGCCCGCACAAGCAGUGGAGCAUGUGGUUUAAUUCGACGCUACGCGAAGAACCUUACCAGGACUUGACAUGGAAUUUAAAACUUUAGAAAUAGAGCCAUAUACAAGUUCACACAGGUGGUGCAUGGUUGUCGUCAGCUCGUGUCGUGAGAUGUUGGGUUAAGUCCCGCAACGAGCGCAACCCUUGUGAUCAGUUACUAACGCGCAAUGGCGAGGACUCUGAUCAGACCGCCGGGGAUAACUCGGAGGAAGGUGGGGACGACGUCAAAUCAUCAUGCCCCUUAUAACCUGGGCUACACACGUGCUACAAUGGCUACGGACAAAGAGAAGCGAAGCCGCAAGGCGGAGCGAAUCUCAUAAAAGUAGUCUCAGUUCGGAUUGUGGGCUGCAACCCGC